ACAGAAGCAGUUAGUUCAGUUUUCAGGCCAUGAUUGUCCAAACGCAAUUCUUGUGAAGGUUAAGCCAAGAACUGUGUAUGGACAUCAGUGCUUGGGGCUUAUACAUCAGAAGGAAUGUC
rnacentral:pre_miRNA from 10 species